UUAAAUCCACCACAACUGUUAAGAACGUACAAUGAGGAAUGAUAGAGAAAAGAUUAGCAUGGCCCCUGCGCAAGGAUGACACACAAAUUCGUGAAGCGUUCCAUAUUUUU